UUCUAACUUAGAAGCUUUAUGCUUGUCCUCUGCCAUAUAUAGCUUCUGAAAGUGAAGGCUGAGGUUGGUGAAGCUUCCAAAAAUCCUCAAGACUUGCUUUUGGAAGCGAUUCAUUCUGCUGGAUAUUCUGGUGCCUUGGCAAAUCCUCUUUUAGCUUCAGAAUUGGCACUUAACGGACUAAAUGAUUCAGUUCUGGAGGAAUUUGUUGCCGAAAACUAUACGGCACCUCGGAUAGUACUUGCUGCUUCUGGUGUUGAGCAUGAGGAAUUGUUAUCUAUUGCAAAACCGCUUUUGUCUGACCUACCUAAUGUCCCACGUCCAGAGGAGCCCAAAUCUGUAUAUACUAUGGGUGAUUAUAGAUGCCACACUGAAUCAGGAAGGACCCACUUUGCUCUCGCAUUUGAACUUCCUGGUGGCUGGCAUAAGUUGAAGGAUGCUAUGGUCUUAACUGUUCUUCAG